UGUAUCGGGCUGCAGGGAAAUCAGUUUUACAGCAUCGCAGCCUGUGGGUGAUAAACUACAACGGUCCUGGGCUAUGGAUGACGUUCCACCGCUUUCACAGAUGCACAGAGGAGGAACAGCGGCUGGAGAAUCUGCUACAGAGCCAGAGGGCGUGUGCGGUGAUUCCCUUUCCUCACAGGGGAUGUGGUCAGGUGCCCAACCUCGGAAUCCCGACACCACGCAGAAUCUUGGCACCAGAAUCUCGACCGAUGGCAUCCAGAUACCUCGUGUUACAUUUGGUAAAAACGGAUGUUGCGCUAAAGAUUUCAGACGAGCAGCAUUUGUCCAAUGGUGUCAUUUCAUAAAUCACACAAUGCCUGUAUAAAAUAUACAUAACGCAUUAAAAAGUCAAUAAAUGAAAUAAAAAAAAAAAGAAGUAAAUA